UACGAAGGGGGCUAGCGUUGUUCGGAAUUACUGGGCGUAAAGCGCACGUAGGCGGCUUUGCAAGUCAGAGGUGAAAGCCCGGGGCUCAACCCCGGAAUAGCCUUUGAGACUGCAUCGCUAGAAUUGUGGAGAGGUAAGUGGAAUUCCGAGUGUAGAGGUGAAAUUCGUAGAUAUUCGGAAGAACACCAGUGGCGAAGGCGACUUACUGGACACAUAUUGACGCUGAGGUGCGAAAGCGUGGGGAGCAAACAGG
rnacentral:rRNA from 1 species